AUGCAUAGUCAUGGGAUGUUGUUACUUAAUGACAUCACAUUCCAGGAAGUGACAUCACUUUGGAGGGAAAACAACAGCACCAACAUCACAUGCGCCGCUAACUGCACCAUAUUGCGGAGAGGCAGGCAGCCCAUCACGGACGUAACUUUGAUUGACAAAUUUCAGACGGACAGUUCGAGCUCCCGCGGGGUGGGCGAAAUGCGGCCCAUAUGCGAGCGGCAUGGGCAAACCAAUCCGGAAAAACGGCAAAGGACGAAUCAAAGGAGGAGGGAGCUGUUCCAUUUCUCUGUUUCUUCUGCCAUUGGGAGCUGUUACUCUUGCAUGGUCUCGGGGUCUCUUCCUGGUGGGUCUGGACUUUAUGGCCACUGGGACUUUUGCUUAAAACUCUUAAGAAACAGAGGUAAAGAUGUGAUGAGUGGGAUGCUCGGGGCUUCCAGGCGCCCUCCUGCCUCACCUUCAUGCUUUAUCUUGUGAGAGUCUGCUAACCCCAUCACACAAACACACGCGCCUGUCCCAUCACGCUUACAGGCAGCUGCAGUCUUAAAUCAAAGUGUGGCCACGUGGCUGAUGAGUGUUUGACACCGCUGAGCUCUUGUCACUGCUGAGUCGAAGUUGCCGGUCUGGUGUCCUUGUCUUAUUCCCUCGUGUACAAUCACUUCUUAAUCUGUCCACAGGGCACGAAUGCCCCCCUCACCACCAGGAUGUGCAUACUGAACACGGCCUCAACAACUACACGAUCAAUGGCACUUUUGAUCACAAAUACACUUUGGAAACAUGCCGUUUGCUGCUUAUGUUUCCAAAAACUGCUACAGCCUUGUUUUUGACCAGUUUUGUGUUUUGGUAGAGUAAGAUUUGAUUAGCUGACUUACAAAAAAAUAUAAAAAUUAGAUGAAUCAGAAAUCAAAAAAGUUGAAGUUCUUUAUAUCAGGGUUAUUUCUGUUAACUAAAACCAAAAUGAAUACUAAAACCAUUUUCAUUACUUACCAUAAAUGUUAACUGAAAUAAUAUAUACCUUUUUAGCUAUAAUAAUAUAUAACUUUUUAUUUUAUCCAGUUGCCAUGGCAGCAUUUUUUACUUUAAUUCAAUGUAUCAUUUAAUUUUAACUUGAUGCACUAAAAUAAAUAAAACUGAAACUGAAUAAAAAAAUAUAGA
ensembl:lncRNA